rnacentral:tRNA from 1 species
CGGUCCAUGGUGUAACAGGAGCACAGCGGCCUUUUAAGCCGUCAUGCCAGGGUGCAAAUCCCUGUGGACCGACCA